CACAAAAAAAGCAAUCUACGUUAAUAUUCGUUGCGAGACCGUGUGAGUGACUGAUGCUGGGAACAACGCACUCUACAGCGCACACUUCUGCUGGUUCCUAGCGCUCCCUGCAGGGUGGGAGGCAGGCAGCAGCUCGGCUCCAAGUCAGUCGAGUGGCUGAGAUCGCGCGAGUACGAACUAUUGCGAUCAUGCAAUGUGACGAGCGUCACGCACCCACCCACAUAGGAGGCGGACAGUUCACUGCAUGCACUCCCACCACAGAACAGAAAAUAUUAACGAAAGGAGUAAAUUUGACACCUGCAGUUAAUGCUUCAUUGUCAGUCACAAAACCAGUUCACACUCAAUACCGUCGCAAUUUUCCCAUCAGUAUGUUCAGUUGUGCAACGUUUUCAAUUAGUAUUACGCCACUCCGAAGCAAGGUUUCAACAAUAUCCCACAAACGUGAGUCAUAGCAUGCAAAUACCUAGCGGGGCUGGUAUAGCGGUACCCCUAUCCUAACAGUUCCUUCGUGGUUUUCCUCUGUUCGUCCAGGGAAAUUCCGGGCUAGCACAUCGAUUAGGACACAGACACUUCCCUCCAAAAUCGUGUACAUGUCAUCGUGCCACACGGAAGCAGGCACUGCCCAAGCCAUGAUGUAACAUCUGUCGACUUCCUUCCUUGAGACAUCAGCCAGGCAGUGAGGGUCGAAGUCAGGAUUAUGCAACAUGGCCGUGGCUACGACACGUGAUUACAGUCACGUUGUGUUUGUGCCCGCAGUUAUAGUUUCCAACGAAUGACGUUUUAGAAUAAAAGCCCUAGUAAAAGCGAUUAUAUAACGCGCCUAUGAAGGGCAAACAACGGCUGCAGACGCAUGCGUGCUAGUCGUGGCACGGAACGUGAAGCUGCUGCUACUGCUGCUGCCUUUGUUCACCAUUGUCUGCAUCGAUUCGGCACGAACAGUUAAGGACGUCUUAACUCAGGAUGCCAGCAUUCAGCAGCGAGUGUAUGAAACUGACACGAAUGCUUGAGAGGGGCAAAUUCUGCAGUGCGCACUGAAUCUGAGUGUAACCGUGGCACUGCUUCACAUUCGCGCAACCAGUUUUCCAGUGCAUGAGAGGGCUCAACAUGCCCUUCAGCGGCGUCCUUCAAACCCUACACCAAACUUCCAGGACUAAGAAUCGAUGCUGCUUGUUGUAGGAUUCAUCUCCCGGACACAGGACUAAC